GUUUUAAUAGUUUAAUAAAAACAAUGAUUUUGUAAAUCAUAGAUAGGAUAGCCUUUAAAACU
rnacentral:tRNA from 1 species